rnacentral:rRNA from 1 species
GAGUAAUAUGUAGGUAACGUGCCCCUUAGACCGGGAUAGCCACUGGAAACGGUGAUUAAUACCGGAUACUCCUACUAAGCACAAGCUUAGUUGGGAAAUGUAUUUCGCUAAGGGAUCGGCCUACAUCGCAUCAGCUAGUUGGUGAGGUAAGAGCUCACCAAGGCAAUGACGCGUAGCGGGUUUGAGAGGAUGAUCCGCCACACUGGUACUGAGACACGGACCAG